AACGAACGCUGGCGGCAGGCCUCAAACAUGCAAGUCUAGGGGGUGCAGCAAUGCAUCACCGGCGGACGGGUGCGUAACGCGUGGGAAUAUACCUUUUGGUUCGGAACAACUGCGGGAAACUGCAGCUAAUACCGAAUGUGCCCUAACGGGGAAAGAUUUAUCGCCUAAAGGAUUAGCCCGCGUAGGAUUAGCUAGUUGGUGAGGUAAUGGCUCACCAAGGCUCCGAUCCUUAGCUGCUGAG
rnacentral:rRNA from 1 species